UCUUUCAGGAUCAUCAAGUGCAAAAUUCAUGGAAGACAGCAAAUUUUAUUGUUGAUUGCAUUAUGGAUUGUUACUUUAUCCCUAACACAUGAUUUUACAUUCUCAAUAUGUGUGUUGGUCUCCCUUCUACCGUGUUAAACACAGAUGGGACUGUUCUGUGACCACAGCUCUUGGAGAGCUGCAAGAAAACUGCGAGAAACGAGCUACAGUGCAGGCAGCUAUAACUUCCAUCUGCAACAACAAUUUCCAAUAACAGAAUGACUGCUCUCCAUGUCACAAGGAUUUUCUGAAAGAGUCCAGUCCCUUAUAUAUGUGAACGAACUGGAGACAUCAGUCAGAGCUGCUGGAUGUUGCACCAAGAGACAGAGGGUGCUCUCUGAGGGACAGUAGGUCACGGGGCAUCUACCCAAGAAAGAAGGAAAGCACAAAGAGAGAACAGAGAGACAGAGACAGAGAGAAAGAGAGAAAGGGAAUUCAUUCUCUUCUAGCAUCUGGAUGAGUCCGUCUGGGUAUGGAGUGGCAGGGAAAAGAAAUGGAGCUUUGCAUUUAUCACAUGUCUACUUCUAACAUGACAGGUGUUGAGCGUUUUGAAGAAACCACUCUGCACCACUUGCCUUCUAASAGAACUGGGAAUAGCUGGAAGGGGUAAAGAGGGGCUCAAUACACAGCAGAUCUUUGUUUUAUGGCAGACUUGUCCUUUGUGACCUAUUGCCUUUGAUAUUUAGGCUUCCAGCACCUCGAAGAGCUAAGUCUUCUUUACUAUUUUAUUCUUCCGGUGUGGUUAGAAUUGUAGACAAGUUUCAUCUCAUUAAGUACAAAUUUUCC